AUUGAACGCUGGCGGCAGGCCUAACACAUGCAAGUCGAGCGGGGUUUUCGGACCUAGCGGCGGACGGGUGAGUAAUGCGUAGGAAGCUGCCCGAUAGAGGGGGAUACCAGUUGGAAACGACUGUUAAUACCUCAUAAUGUCUACGGACCAAAGUGUGGGACCUUCGGGCCACAUGCUAUCGGAUGCGCCUACGUGGGAUUAGCUAGUUGGUGAGGUAAUGGCUCACCAAGGCGACGAUCUCUAGCUGGUUUGAGAGGAUGAUCAGCCACACUGGAACUGAGACACGGUCCAGACUCCUACGGGAGGCAGCAGUGGGGAAUAUUGGACAAUGGGCGCAAGCCUGAUCCAGCCAUGCCGCGUGUGUGAAGAAGGCCUUCGGGUUGUAAAGCACUUUCAGCGAGGAGGAAGGGUGGUGUGUUAAUAGCACAUCAUUUUGACGUUACUCGCAGAAGAAGCACCGGCUAACUCUGUGCCAGCCGCCGCGGUAA
rnacentral:rRNA from 1 species